GAAUGUAACGGCGUCGUUGGUGCAAGUAAGCAAAAGCAGUUUAAACGAAACGCAUCGUAUAAGAAUGUAACUGAACUAGACGCCUCGUGACUAAUCAUCGACACUGUACACCCGGCAUCCAAAAACAACCAGCGCUUGCUGUUCGUUGCUCGAAAUUCUGCAUUGCAGGGAAAAGCUCCUUUCUGCUACAAAUUACAGUAGACUCUCUCUCCGAAUUGACCCUAUUAUCCAUUUUCCUCCACUUUCCUUUCUCUGCUUGUGUAUGAACCAAUGUCUCGCUCUCAGAUUGGUUAUCUGGUUCCUCUGAAAGUAAAUUUAGAGGAGGACACUUCGCUUCCUAAGCUACCUCUUUCCAAAGGCUCUAACACCAUCGGCCGCAGCCACGUUUCCGUCCCCGAUAAGAGACUCAGUCGCAACCACCUCACUGUAACCGCCUCUAUUGAUGGUUCUCUCAAUUUGACUCCCGAGGGUACUAAUCCAGUCGUGGUUAAAUCUGGGAAUCUAAGAAGGAAGCUGAAUCCUGGAGAGCAGUUGUCUAUUGCUAGCGGUGAUAUUAUAGAGCUAAUACCUGGCCACCAUUUCUUUAAGUACGUGGCUUCGUCUUCUCACAGCAGUAAUAGUAAUUCAUCUUCUCCUAAUACACCAAAGAGACAUUGUAAUAAUGAUGGUGGAGAAAUCAUCAAAAGCGACCCACCUAGUAGAAAGAAGAUGCGAGAAGCACCUGAAGUUGCUAACCGCUCUAAGUUGGAGACAGAAAAUAAUGGACAAGGAAACUGUGAAGAGGCUAUUUGUAAAUUUCAUGUUCCUGAUGAUAAAUUGCCGUUGAUCUUCCGGCUUUUGAAAGUGCAAGGGCUUCCGGCUUGGGCAAAUACCUCUUGCGUUUCUAUAAAUGACGUGGUUCAGGGGGAUAUUCUUGUUGCUAUCCUUUCAAACUACAUGGUGGACGUUGAUUGGUUGAUUUCUGCAUGUCCAACACUAGCUAAAAUUCCCCAUGUCUUGGUUAUUCAUGGGGAGGGUGAUGCUACGCUCGAACAUAUGAAGAGAAGCAAGCCUGCAAAUUGGAUUCUGCAUAAACCUCCACUGCCUAUUUCAUUUGGGACACACCAUUCCAAGGCCAUGCUUCUCAUCUAUCCUCGAGGAGUUAGAAUCAUUGUGCAUACAGCAAACUUAAUAUAUGUUGACUGGAACAACAAAAGCCAAGGUCUAUGGAUGCAAGAUUUCCCUUGGAAGGAUGAAAAGAGUCAAAGCAAAGGAUGCGGAUUUGAAAAUGACUUGGUUGAUUAUCUCCACGCUUUAAAGUGGCCAGAAUUCCCUGUUAAGCUACCUGCCCUUGGGAACUUCACUAUGAACCCAUCCUUUUUAAAGAAGUUUGAUUACAGCAGUGCAGCAGUUAGGUUAAUUGCAUCUGUUCCUGGAUAUCAUGCUGGUGCCAACCUAAAAAAAUGGGGACAUAUGAAGUUAAGAAGUGUUCUCCAGGAAUGCAUUUUUGGAAAGGAAUUUAAAAAUUCUCCUCUUGUCUAUCAGUUCUCUUCCCUUGGUUCGUUGGAUGAAAAGUGGAUGACAGAGCUGGCUACCUCAAUGUCUUCUGGACUCUCAGAAGAUAAAACGCCUCUUGGCCUUGGAGAGGCUAGAAUAAUAUGGCCUACUGUGGAAGAUGUCAGAUGCUCGUUAGAGGGUUAUGCUGCUGGAAAUGCUAUUCCAAGCCCAUUAAAGAAUGUAGAGAGAGAAUUUCUGAAGAAGUAUUGGUCAAAAUGGAAGGCUACCCACACUGGCCGCUGUCGUGCAAUGCCGCAUAUAAAGACAUUCACGCGGUAUAAUGGCCAGAAACUUGCUUGGUUUCUGCUGACUUCAGCUAAUCUAAGCAAAGCAGCUUGGGGGGCCUUGCAAAAGAAUAAUUCUCAGUUGAUGAUUCGUUCCUACGAGCAUUGGAUCCUUUAUUAUUGUUGUAUGAUUCACCUCAGCUCGGUGUGCUCUUUCUACCAUCUCCCUAUAAAAUACAUGCUUAUGGAUUUUCUUGCGUAGACAAUGAAGUUCUAUCCAAGGAUAAAUGUGGAGUAUUAGCAGAUUCUGAAGUGCUGAGAACGAAACUAGUGACUUUGGCGUGGCAAGGAACUAAAGAUUCAUCAUGUGAAGUGAUUCCACUACCAGUGCCUUACGAGCUCCCUCCCCAACCAUACUCCUCUGAAGAUAUUCCCUGGUCUUGGGACAGACGAUAUACCAAGAAGGAUGUUUAUGGCCAAGUUUGGCCUAGGCUUGUACAGCUUUAUACUUCUCAACAUUAAUGACUCUUGGUUUUGCAUUUGGUUUUGUAGUUUUUUCCAUGUAUUGUGCUGCAGAUUUUUCUGUCAGAAAAGGGACGUUGAAGACUCCUGUAUUAGAAGUUAUAUCAAGUGUAACUUCCAAAUUUGUUGCUCUUAAGCAUUUAUGGUCCAAAGAAUAAUACGUUAAGAGAGAGAUAUCGCCUUAAAUGUCAAUUGAAUGUUUUUUUUCUUUA